rnacentral:rRNA from 1 species
AGAUUGAACGCUGGCGGCAGGCCUAACACAUGCAAGUCGAGCGGUAGAGAGGUGCUUGCACCUCUUGAGAGCUGCGGACGGGUGAGUAAUGCCUAGGAAUCUGCCUAGUGGGUGGGGGAUAACGGUUCGGAAACGGACGCUAAUACCGCAUACGUCCUACGGGAGAAAGCGGGGGACCUUCGGGCCUCGCGCCAUUAGAUGAGCCUAGGUCGGAUUAGCUAGUUGGUGAGGUAAUGGCUCACCCAAGGCGACGAUCCGUAA